rnacentral:rRNA from 1 species
CUACGGGGUGCAGCAGUGAGGAAUAUUGGUCAAUGGGCGAGGGCCUGAACCAGCCAAGUCGCGUGAAGGAAGAAGGUUCUAUGGAUUGUAAACUUCUUUUGUAAGGGAAUAAAAAGAGUUACGUGUAACUUAUUGUAUGUACUUUACGAAUAAGGAUCGGCUAACUCCGUGCCAGCAGCCGCGGUAAUACGGAGGAUCCAAGCGUUAUCCGGAUUUAUUGGGUUUAAAGGGUGCGUAGGCGGUCGUUUAAGUCAGUGGUGAAAGUUUGCAGCUCAACUGUAAAAUUGCCAUUGAAACUGAAUGACUCGAGUGUAAAUGAGGUAGGCGGAAUGUGUUGUGUAGCGGUGAAAUGCUUAGAUAUAACACAGAACACCAAUUGCGAAGGCAGCUUACUGGGAUACAACUGACGCUGAGGCACGAAAGCGUGGGGAUCAAACAGGAUUAGAUACCCCUGUAGUC